AGAGUUUGAUCCUGGCUCAGAUUGAACGCUGGCGGCAUGCCUUACACAUGCAAGUCGAACGGUAACAGGUCUUCGGACGCUGACGAGUGGCGAACGGGUGAGUAAUACAUCGGAACGUGCCCAGUCGUGGGGGAUAACUACUCGAAAGAGUAGCUAAUACCGCAUACGAUCUGAGGAUGAAAGCGGGGGACCUUCGGGCCUCGCGCGAUUGGAGCGGCCGAUGGCAGAUUAGGUAGUUGGUGGGAUAAAAGCUUACCAAGCCGACGAUCUGUAGCUGGUCUGAGAGGACGACCAGCCACACUGGGACUGAGACACGGCCCAGACUUCCUACGGGAGGCAGCAGUGGGGAAUUUUGGACAAUGGGCGAAAGCCUGAUCCAGCAAUGCCGCGUGCAGGAUGAAGGCCUUCGGGUUGUAAACUGCUUUUGUACGGAACGAAAAAGCUUCUCCUAAUACGAGAGGCCCAUGACGGUACCGUAAGAAUAAGCACCGGCUAANUANGACNGACAAA
rnacentral:rRNA from 1 species